ACUGAAUGGCAUGCUGGGAGAAAGGAAGUGGAGUCAGAGAGAAGCCAUAAAUCCUUGCUUGAGACAGAUGCCGGGACGGCUCAGACAAGGUGGAGCAGAUGUCCACGGAGUCAAGGAUGCACCACAUACCCUGGUACCUGAUAAGCAAGACCCUGAGGAGAAGUUGCAGCCACAGCUCUACCUAUCCAGUCACACCCUGACUGAGAGAAGUCACGUGACAGCAGCAGUGGUUGUAGGUCUCAGCUGAAGCCUUCCAGUCACCUUAGAACAGGACCUGGACAGCAGAGGGGUCACCUCAGCUGCUGUGUAUCAGGAUAACGACAAGGGGAAGCUGAGCCCGGGGGUAUUAGCACCCACCUCGGGAUCCGUCCAUGUGAGCGGUCCUCAGACUACAAUCCAAGAGGAGAUUGGAAAGUGCCGAGCGCAGAUGGCUCAAACUUAAAAGAGACCUUUGCUUGUGUGGAAAAGGAUAAGGAUGGAUGACAUCCCUGCCGCUGAGCCUGAUGGGAGACUCACCAUGGAAUGUUGACAGUUAUUUGAAACAUGAACCCCUUUGAAUUCUUGUCAUCUCUCUGAAUAAGAAUCACAAGACCAAGGAGCCCAAAGUGCCCUAUUUGCCUAUGAGUGGCGUCAGGAUAAAAGUGAAAACAUCCCUAAUACCCUGCAAGAGGCACAGCAUGUCAGGGUGCUGGGAAGGAGGUUAGGAGGCAGGCACAGGGAGAUUGCUGCGCAUUCACGACCAGCCUGGGCUACAAAGCAAGACCCUGUCUCAGAAACAAACAAAAAAGCUGGAUGCACUGGUUGUAUUAGUGAUUAAUACACAUCAACCACUUUUUUAAAAUCAGUAUUUCUAUGUAUAAAGAAUAAGGUAAAUCAUGCAAAUAUUUUGAAAAAAGAGUACCACAAAGUAAAGUGCUUAUUUCAACAAAGACAAUGUUACUGAUCUACUACUUCCAUGAUCUGUAGCAAGUUAGAUGUGGUGGGUUCACAUCUGUCAUCCCAGUAACUGGGAAGGCUGAGGCAGGAAGAUUAUGUGUUCAAGACCUGCCUCGGCUACAUAGUGACAUUCUGUCUCACGGAAGGAGGUAAGACAUAGCACCACGAGUGAUACUUCGAGAAUUUACUUUGAAACUCAAAAUCUAGAGCCAUGCUGGGUACAGUGGCACACACCUAUAGUCUCAGCACUUAGGAGGCCAAGGCAGAGUAAUCAGGAGUUCCAAGCCAGUCAUAUACAUAUCAAGUUCCAGGAUAGCCUGGACUACAGAGUGAGAUACAGUCUCCAAAACUAGUAACAAUGUAGACCUCACAAUAACAUAAGCAGGAGAGUUCUCUUGGGGUAAGACUUCACCCAUGCUGUGAUGCUGUUGCCAUCAUGAGACUCACUCUAGAGCAAUGUUUCUCAGACUACGGGUUGCAACCCCUUUGGGACCAAAUGACCCUUUCACCGGGAUUGUCUAAGACCAUCAGAUAGAAAGCAGUGGUUGCAUUACAAUUCAUAACAGUAACAAAAUUAUAGUAUGAACUAGCCAUGGAAAUAAAUUUAUGCUGGGGGGGGGUCACCACAACAUGAAGAACUGUAUUACAGAGUUGUCGCAGAAGGAAGGGUUGAGAACCGCUGCUCGAGAGGACAAUGGUCAUGGCUUCUAGCUCAGGGCUGAAGGUUGAGGGAGAAAUAGGGAUAAGAAUAUCAGUGAAGCUGUGCCCGGUAGAACAGGAGGCCAUAUUGAAGGCACCUCUCAUAAACCAAGAAAUCCUCCAGGGCUGUACUUAGAAAAGGGAAUGGAAGGGAAAGGAUUGUCAGUUUUAUAGGUCCAUGUUGCUAUUCAUGAUUUCUUUCUAAAUUUAUGCAUUCAUAAUUUUAUAAUGUGUGUGAUCACCGCCCCCAGUUCCAUCAUCCUCUCUUAUCCAUUACCCCACCACCAUCAAACCUUUCCUUCUCCCCAAGUCCCUCCCCUACACUUGUAUCUUUUUUGUUUUGAGGGGACAAUUAUAUUGUGAACUUGGAUAGGGGGUAUUUACUUGAGCAAAGGCUGAGAAAUAUGACUUCCCAUUCCCCAGAAAUCAUUGACUGCCUAUUGUCAGAUCCAAAGGAAACUCCCCCAAAAUUUGGCACCCAUGCCCCUCUUCCAAAGGAGCCAUUUCCUUAUCAUUGUCAGAAGAGGUAAAUGGCUAUCUAUGGUGCCUAUUUUCAUACCAAACCCUUGCUGGCCUCACUCAGUAUCCUAAGUACCAGCUUCUCCUCUUCAGUUCUUUUUACCGAGACCUCUCCCCUAAUUCUUGUUACCAGGACACUUACCCUUCUCUCUCCCACCCUUUUGUCCCUUACCACAUGUUCUCAGCUCCCUUCUGGAACUUUCUCACCUCCACUUAGGAGCUGCCCGUGUCUGUGUCCUUGCCGUUAGCCCUCUGUCGCUGGAGCCUUCUGCUUAAGUCCUGCUGUUUCCUUAUGCCUUCCUGGAACUCUAUAAUAUUGGGUUCCUCCCAUGUGUAGAUUGCUUUUGUGACCUUCCCACCUUAUCUUACCUUGUUCUAUUCUUUUUUCCUCCUCUGACUCAGAGAUUGCAUCAAAGCUUUGCUGUCUUUCUCCAAGUGACUUGGUUUUACUACAGCUCAACAGGUAAAAUGUGGCACACUCAAUUUUCAAUUUUUGCAGAUUGUAACAAUUUCCACCACCACACAAAUAUUCCUCAAAUCUCUUCUGUCUAAACUUUCUUGACUCUACACUCUCAAAAGUCUCUUAUCUAAAGCUUUUUCUUCUAUACUUCUUUCUUCUAUAUUUCUUGAAAAUCUUUAUGAUUUAUUUGCUCUUUGCUCUCAAAAAAGUCUCUUAAGAAUAUGCUGAAAACUCUAUCUCAUGAUUUGUAAGUCCAUUAGGUAUGGUUGAAAAUCUAUAAUAUCUGGGAUUAAGAACACUGACAGGUCUUCCAGAGGUCCUGAGUUCAAUUCCCAGCAAUCAUAUGGUGACUCACAACCGUCUAUAAUGAGCUCUGGUGCCCUUUUCUGGCAUGGAGGCAAACAUGCAGACAGAACACUGUAUUAUAAUAAGUAAAUAAAUCCUUGAAAAAAAAUCUAUAAUAUUUGUAACAAAAAAACUAGCUUAAAUCUUGUAACAAAAGGCUAAUGAUUAAAAAAAAUCUGCACACAGGUAAUCUUAAUUUGCUACAGCAUACUAUAUAAGUGAUCCACAUUUCUUUUAGUAAAAUAGAUGUUUUUAAAUAGCAAAAUUGCAGCUUGUCUUCAUCUUGGCUAAUGACCUCACCAAGACGAAAGCAACCAUGUGGCUGGCAGCCAUCUUUAUUAAGGCUAAAGAGAGUGCGUGCCAGGUAACUUCACCACCGUCUUGAUUAAGAUGACCACAUGAUAUAAACCAACUAAGGCAGCACUCAUAAAACCUCAUAGUACUAAUGAGCUCUCUGCUUAUUGUUGUAUCUCCUUUUGAUCAUAUUAACCUGGAAUAUUCCAGGAAUAUUCCAGGUUAAUAUGAUCAUAUAUUAAUAUGAUCAAAGGAGACUUCCUGAAACUUGGCAGGUGAUAUAUAUCAAGAAAGGCUACUGCUGCUCUUUCCUGGACUUGAUCAUUAUCUCAAAUUUUCUCAGGAACUCUAAAGAUACUUCAUCCACAGACUGCAGGAAACAGUUUUAAAAACAUGAUACCUACAUUCCUUAGAGGGAUGUGGGAGGCUUUUGGCUAUUUGGUGGGUUAUAGAUGUUUGUUAUAUUUAGGGGAAUAUGGAAAUAUAGGAAUGAUACGAUAAAAGGGUAGAUUAUUGAA